UGAAGAGGUUUGGAAAGACCCACCACAGAAGGUAAUAGUCCUGUAUGUUAAACGAGAAGACUUUAGAUAUGAUCCAGAGUACCACGGGACACGUGAAACCCUGUGGGAAGCAGGAGGGACCACCCUCCAAGGCUAAAUACUACCUAGUGACCGAUAGCGUAUAGUACCGUGAGGGAAAGGUGAAAAGAACCCCGGGAGGGGAGUGAAAUAGAACCUGAAACCCUGCACUUACAAGCUGUGGAAGCACAUUUCUUGUGUGACCGCGUACUUUUUGUAGAACGGGCCAACGAGUUACGUUAAGUAGCAAGGUUAAGCACUUAAGGUGCGGAGCCGUAGCGAAAGCGAGUUUUAACUGAGCGUUCAGUUACUUGACGUAGACCCGAAACCGGGCGACCUACCCAUGAGCAGGAUGAAGCGAAAGUAAAAUUUCGUGGAGGUCCGAACCCACGAGCGUUGAAAAGCUCGGGGAUGACUUGUGGGUAGCGGUGAAAUUCCAAUCGAGCCCGGAGAUAGCUGGUUCUCCCCGAAAUAGCUUUAGGGCUAGCCUCAAGGUGAGAGAUACGGAGGUAGAGCACUGAAUGUCCUAGGGGGUAUUGCACCUACCGAAGACUAUCAAACUCCGAAUGCCGUCAUCUUAUACUUGGGAGUCAGACUGUGGGUGAUAAGAUUCAUAGUCGAAAGGGCAACAGCCCAGAUCGUCAGCUAAGGUCCCUAAAUGUAAGUUAAGUGGUAAAGGAUGUGGGAUUGCACAGACAACCAGGAUGUUGGCUUAGAAGCAGCCACUCAUUCAAAGAGUGCGUAAUAGCUCACUGGUCGAGUGAUCCUGCGCCGAAGAUUUCCGGGGCUAAAACUUACUACCGAAGCUACGGCAUCAGUAAUGAUGGGUAGGGGAGCUUCCCAUACGGGUUGAAGCAUGACCGUAAGGACAUGUGGACAGUAUGGGAGUGAGAAUGUUGGCAUGAGUAGCGAGAUGUGGGUGAGAAUCCCACAGGCCGUAAACCCAAGGUUUCCAGGGGAAGGUUCGUCCGCCCUGGGUUAGUCGGGACCUAAGCUGAGGCCGAAAGGCGUAGGUGAUGGACAACAGGUUGAUAUUCCUGUACUACCGAUAACCGUUUGAGAGAAGGGAUGACACAGUAGGAUAAGCUAAGCACACUGUUGGUUAUGUGUGCCCAAGCAUUGAGGCAGUCAAAGUAGGCAAAUCCGCUUUGAUAAUGCUGGGAUGUGAUGGGGAGCGAAAUUUAGUAGCGAAGUAGCUGAUUUCACACUGUCAAGAAAAGUCUCUAUCGAGGUUAAAGGUACCCGUACCGCAAACCGACACAGGUGGGUGAGGAGAGUAUCCUAAGGCCAGCGAGAGAACUGUUGUUAAGGAACUCGGCAAAAUGACCCCGUAACUUAGGGAUAAGGGGUGCCACCAUCAGGUGGCCGCAGAGAAUAGGCCCAAGCGACUGUUUACCAAAAACAUAGGUUUCUGCUAAGUCGCAAGACGAUGUAUAGGAGCUGACGCCUGCCCGGUGCUGGAAGGUUAAGGGGAUCUGUUAGAGCAAUCGAAGCAGUGAACUUAAGCCCCAGUAAACGGCGGCCGUAACUAUAACGGUCCUAAGGUAGCGAAAUUCCUUGUCGGGUAAGUUCCGACCCGCACGAAAGGCGUAACGAUUUGGGCACUGUCUCAACAACAGACUCGGUGAAAUUGUAAUUCCGGUGAAGAUGCCGGAUACCUGCGACAGGACGGAAAGACCCCAUGGAGCUUUACUGUAGCUUGACAUUGGGUCUUGGUACUACAUGUACAGGAUAGGUGGGAGGCUUUGAAACCAGGACGCCAGUUUUGGCGGAGCCAUCCUUGGGAUACCACCCUUGUAGUACUGGGACUCUAACCAUAGGCCAUGAAUCUGGUCUUGGGACACUGUCAGGUGGGCAGUUUGACUGGGGCGGUCGCCUCCCAAAAGGUAACGGAGGCGCUCAAAGGUUCUCUCAGUACGGUCGGAAAUCGUACGUAGAGUGUAAAGGCAAAAGAGAGCUUGAUUGCAAGACAUACAGGUCGAGCAAGGAUGAAAAUCGGACUUAGUGAUCCGGUGGUUCUGCGUGGAAGGGCCAUCGCUCAACGGAUAAAAGCUACCCUGGGGAUAACAGGCUUAUCUCCCCCAAGAGUCCACAUCGACGGGGAGGUUUGGCACCUCGAUGUCGGCUCAUCACAUCCUGGGGCUGUAGUAGGUCCCAAGGGUUGGGCUGUUCGCCCAUUAAAGUGGUACGCGAGCUGGGUUCAGAACGUCGUGAGACAGUUCGGUCCCUAUCCGUCGCAGGCGUAGGAAAUUUGAGAAGACCUGUCCUUAGUACGAGAGGACCGGGAUGGACGUACCUCUGGUGUACCAGUUGUUCUGCCAAGGGCAUGGCUGGGUAGCUAUGUACGGAAUGGAUAAGCGCUGAAAGCAU
rnacentral:rRNA from 1 species